AAUAGAUACCCAGGUAGUCCACGCCCUAAACGAUGAGUGCUCAAUGUCGACUAUUUCUAAUCGGUGUUCUAGUUAACGCGUUAAGCACUCCGCCUGAGUAGUACGGUCGCAAGACUGAAAUUCAAAGAUAUUGACGGUCAGAAAUACAAGCGGUGGAGCAUGUGGCUUAAUUCGACGCAACACGAAAAACCUCACCAAUUCUUGACAGUAGAGGAAGCUACCCAUAAUUUAUGGGCGUGAUGCCAUUCGAAAGAUGAGCGGAAUUCCCUCUAAACAGGUGCUGCAUGGCUGUCGUCAGUCCGUGUCGUGAGACGUAUGGUUAAUUCCUUUAACGGACGCAACCCCACCUUCUAGUUUUAUCUAGUUGGUCAACUUCAAAAGAUGAAUUUGCAAGCGGGAUGAUGUCAAGUCUGUAUGGCCUUUAUGGAUUGGGCUGCACACGUGCUACAAUGGAUGGUACAAUGAGAAGCAAAAAUGCGAAUUUGAGCAAAUCUUUAAAACCUUCCGUAGUUCGGAUUAUUU
rnacentral:rRNA from 1 species